GUGCUCGCUUCGGCAGCACAUAUACUAAAAUUGGAAAGAUACAGAGAUUAGCAUGGCCCCUGCACAAGGAUGACACACAAAUUUGUGAAGCGUUCCAUAUUUUG
rnacentral:snRNA from 1 species